rnacentral:rRNA from 1 species
UGGGGAAUUUUAGACAAUGGGCGAAAGCCUGACCCAGCAAUGCCGCGUGCAGGACGAAGUCCUUCGGGAUGUAAACUGCUGUCAGGGGUCCGCAAGCGAAGGGGUCCAACAGGCCCUGGAGUUGAGCAGCCCCAGAGGAAGCCUCGACUAACUCUGUGCCAGCAGUCGCGGUAAGACAGCGGAGGCAAGCGUUGUUCGGAAUCACUGGGCUUAAAGCGCGUGUAGGCGGCUUAGAAAGUGUCGUGUGAAAUCCCGCGGCUCAACCGCGGAACUGCACGGCAAACUACUUGGCUUGAGGUCGAUAGAUGUGCCUGGAACUCUAGGUGGAGCGGUGAAAUGCGUAGAUAUCUAGAGGAACGCCAGAAGCGAAAGCGGGGCACUGGGCCGAUUCUGACGCUGAGACGCGAAAGCGUGGGGAGCAAACA